rnacentral:rRNA from 1 species
UACGUAGGGUGCAAGCGUUGUCCGGAAUUAUUGGGCGUAAAGAGCUCGUAGGCGGUCUGUUGCGUCUGCUGUGAAAACUCGGGGCUUAACCCCGGGCCUGCAGUGGGUACGGGCAGACUAGAGUGCGGUAGGGGAGACUGGAAUUCCUGGUGUAGCGGUGAAAUGCGCAGAUAUCAGGAGGAACACCGGUGGCGAAGGCGGGUCUCUGGGCCGUAACUGACGCUGAGGAGCGAAAGCGUGGGGAGCGAACAGG